rnacentral:rRNA from 1 species
CUCGGAGUUUGAUCCUGGCUCAGGAUGAACGCUAGCGGCAGGCUUAACACAUGCAAGUCGAGGGGUAUUGGUUUUCGGACCAAGAGACCGGCACACGGGUGCGUAACGCGUAUGCAAUCUACCUUUUACAGAGGGAUAGCCCAGAGAAAUUUGGAUUAAUACCUCAUAGUAUGUGAGAAUCGCAUGGUUUUCACAUUAAAGUUCCAACGGUAAAAGAUGAGCAUGCGUCCCAUUAGCUAGAUGGUAAGGUAACGGCUUACCAUGGCGACGAUGGGUAGGGGUCCUGAGAGGGAGAUCCCCCACACUGGUACUGAGACACGGACCAGACUCCGUACGGGAGGCAGCAGUGAGGAAUAUUGGACAUGGGCGCAAGCCUGAUCCCAGCCCAUGCCGCGUGCAGGAAGACGGUCCUA